GAUGAACGCUGGCGGCGUGCUUAACACAUGCAAGUCGAACGAUAAAUGGAGACGUAAACCUUCUGGCGGAAUGCUUCACUUGUAAUGACCGCGUGGGGAGUAUCGCGUGGGUAACCGGCCUCCUACAGGGAGAUAACGCUAGUAAACGACUGUUAAUACCGCAUAAUACCACAGCACCGCAUGGUGCGGUGGUAAAAGCUCCAGUUGUAUGAGAUGGACCCGCGUUCGAUGAGCCGGUUGGCGGGGUAACGGCCCACCAAAGCGACGAUCCAUAGCCGAGAUGGGAAGAUGACCGGGCACAUUGGGGCUGAGACACGGACCAAACUCCUAGGGGAGGCAGGAGUGGGGAAUAUUGCACGAUGGGGGAAACCCUGAUGCAGCCACGCCGCGUGAGUGAAGAAGUACUUCGGUAUGUAAAGCUCUAUGAGCAGGGAAGAAAAUGACGGUACCUGAGUAAGAAGCCCCGGCUAACUACGUG
rnacentral:rRNA from 1 species